ACUCCGGACCUCCAGCUGCAGACCGCCGAAGACACACUCCCGCAGGACCAGGUGUGUUUGAGCUGCUCAGUGUGUGUUGGAGACGCUGCACUUCCUCCUCCUCUCCACAGGCGGCGCUGUGCUGUGACUGAGCUGGUGCUGCUGCCUGUAACAGCAACUCCAUGUGGAAGUGUGUGUGUGUGUGUUCCAGUGGAGCUGCUGUUACCUGCAGACGGUGACCUUCGACCUUCAGCGUCUGACUGCAGCCUCCGAAAAACACUGCAGCGGUUACUUAGCAACAGCAGAUUAAUAAACACUGAAGUCAGUAAAGUAAUGAGUUUAAUUCAGUAAUGAGGUCAAUUUAAAAAUUAUCAGAAUUCAGUAAUGAAGGAAAUGAAAUCAAAAAAGAUGUAAAUUCAGUAAUGAGGUAAAUAAAAAUGAUAGAAAUUCAGUAUUAAAGUAAAUUCAUUAAUCAAGAAACUUCAAAAAUGAGGUAAAUUCAGUAACAAAUUAAAUUAUUAAUUCUGUAAUUUUAAUUCAGAAAUUUUAGUUCAGUUUUGAGGUGAUUUAAACAAGUUGUAAAUUCAGUAAUGAGAUAAAUGUGGUAAUGAGGUAAAUUCAGUAAAGAAUUAAAUUAAAAAAUAUAUAAUUUUAGUAAUUAGGGAAAUUCAAAAAAGAUAAAUUCAUUGAUUAAUUAACUUUAAAAAUAAAUCCAGUAUUGAAUUAAAUUCUAAAGUAUAAAGUAAAGUCAGUAGUGAAGUAAAUUAAAAAAUUCCAGUUAUGUAGAAAUUAAAAAAUUAGGUUAAUUUAAAAAUGACAGGUUCAGUAACGACAUAAAUUCAGUGAAGAAAAACUGAGUAAUUAGUAAAAUUGGGACUGAAGGUGGUCCCGCUGGGGGUGGGAUGCAGGGCGAUGACCUAUGAAUUGACAGCCAGUUUAAGUGGGCCUGCCUGUCAGUUCUGUAGGCCACUGUCCUGUUGUCCUCUCUGUCCCGUCUGUCAUCUCUGUCCUAUUUGUCCUGUCUGUCCCAUCUGUCCUGUCUGUCAUCUGUCCCAUCUGUCCUGUCUGUCCCAUCCGAUCUGUAAGCCACUGUCCUGUCUGUCCUCUCUGUCCCGUCUGUCAUCUCUGUCCCAUCUGUCCUGUUUGUCCCAUCUGUCCUGUCUGUCCCAUCCGAUCUGUAAGCCACUGUCCUGUCUGUCCUCUCUGUCCUGUCUGUCAUCUGUCCAAUCUGUCCUGUUUGUCCUGUCUGUCCCGUCCGAUCUGUAAGCCACUGUCAUGUCUGUCCACUCUCUCCUGCCUGUCCUGUCAGUUCCGUAGGCCACUGUCCUGUCUGUUCUCUCUGUCCCAUCUGUCCCAUUUGUCCUGUCUGUCCUCUCUGUCCCGUUUAUCCUGUCUGUCCUCUCUGUCCCAUCUGUCCUGUCAGUUCUGUAAGCCACUGUCCUGUCUGUCCUCUCUGUCCCGUCUGUCAUCUGUCCCAUCUGUCCCAUCUGUCCUGUUUGUCCUGUCUGUCCCAUAUGUCCUGUCAGUUCUGUAAGCCACUGUCCUGUCUGUCCUGUCUGCUGUGUCAGCUCUGUCUGUCCACUCAUUAAAGAGGAGAAGAGAGUGAUGAACACAGUGACGAUGGCAGCCGUCCAGUCAGGCUUAUAACACUGCAAUAUUUAAAUGAGCUGUUUAAAGAUAUUUCUGUGUCUGUGAUUAAAAUGACAUUAAAAUUUUAAAAAUUCUG